AUAAAUCCAUCUUUUUCUUACUGCUCUAUCAUAUCUAGGAUUUUGAAGCAUUUUGAGAUCAAAGCUCCUGCUGAGUUUCUUGAGGCACCUACUCUUACUCAGUGUUUCAAUUACUCUACCAUGAAAUACAUGAAAUAUACCAUGGGAUGGAAACAACAUUUAGUACAUAAUGCCCAAGAAAGGAGUAAUUAUGAUGAUCCUGAGCCUGUAAAAGAGGCACAACCUGAUGGAAAUGCAAACAAUCAACAAUACGUUCAAUGACAUGAUGGGAAUAUUGAAGGUGAGCAUGUAAAACCUGAUAUUGCACAAGAUGAAGUUAUGGCAGAUGCUAGAUACUGACUAUGGGGAAGAAAAUGAGUUAUAUGAUUGGCAGAUGCUAGAUACUGACAUGAUUGGCUAGGUAACGAAACUCCGUAACCGGCAAGUUCAAGUCAAUGUUGGGCUCCUUGGUCCAAUCCUUCUUAGGGUAAUAAUGUUGGAAAUAACUCGAAUAGGGGAAAUACUAUGAAUGGAAGUGGGGGUGCUUACAAUUGAGACAAAUAAGCUUAUGGUUCGCCAUCUGAUGUAGGUUCGAGUGGUGAUAUGUCAUAGGUUGUCACUUUGCUGGAGCACUUGCGAGUGCAGC
rnacentral:lncRNA from 1 species